rnacentral:rRNA from 1 species
UUAUCCGGAUUUWUUGGGUUUAAAGGGKGSGUAGGCGGCACGUCAAGUCAGCGGUUAAAUGUCGGGGCUCAACCUCGGCCUGCCGUUGAAACUGAUGAGCUAGAGAGGAUGAGAWGUAUGCGGAAUGCGUGGUGUAGCGGUGAAAUGCAUAGAUAUCACGCAGAACUCCGAUUGCGAAGGCAGCAUGCCGGCAUCUAUCUGACGCUGAGGCACGAAAGCGUGGGGAUCGAACAGGAUUAGAUACCCUGGUAGUCCACGCWGAAUYUUUAAUGCUAGAUGUUCGAUAGGAUGACUAUKGAGUGUCACAGCGAAAGCGUUAAGCAUUCCACCYUGG